CUGGUUUCAUUCCAUUUUAGAAAUAUAUGGAAGAGAGGAAAAAAAUUUCAACAGCCUACUUCAAGAAAACCAAAAAGUGGGCUGGAGAGGACAGAAUUCGGAGAGGACAGACACCUAGGUCAUUUGAUGCCAAAUUGCAGGCAAAUCGCUUUAGGACAUGCAGAAGAUAUCCCACUGAGCUAUGGUGAGCCCACCCAUUGUGCCCUGGCCUGAGACCACCUGUGGUUCA
rnacentral:lncRNA from 12 species